GAUGAACGCUGGCGGCGUGCCUAAUACAUGCAAGUCGAGCGAACAGACGAGGAGCUUGCUCCUCUGACGUUAGCGGCGGACGGGUGAGUAACACGUGGAUAACCUACCUAUAAGACUGGGAUAACUUCGGGAAACCGGAGCUAAUACCGGAUAACAUGUUGAACCGCAUGGUUCAACAGUGAAAGACGGUUUUGCUGUCACUUAUAGAUGGAUCCGCGCCGCAUUAGCUAGUUGGUAAGGUAACGGCUUACCAAGGCAACGAUGCGUAGCCGACCUGAGAGGGUGAUCGGCCACACUGGAACUGAGACACGGUCCAGACUCCUACGGGAGGCAGCAGUGGGGAAUCUUCCGCAAUGGGCGAAAGCCUGACGGAGCAACGCCGCGUGAGUGAAGAAGGUCUUCGGAUCGUAAAACUCUGUUAUUAGGGAAGAACAAAUGUGUAAGUAACUAUGCACGUCUUGACGGUACCUAAUCAGAAAGCCACGGCUAACUACGUG
rnacentral:rRNA from 1 species